CAUGUGUAAAAAAUCAAACCUUAGAUUUCGAAUUCAUUUCUAAUUUAAAGGGUAAGUAUUAAGUAUUGAGAUUAGAUAAUUUUUUUUUUUUCUUCUAAAAAUGAAUAUUUCUAAAACAAUAAUAAUCAGACAAAUACCCUCACUUUCAAUCUCACACUAAAGUAAAACCCUAAAUUCCUCCUCUUCUCUCUACGUUCACUAGAGGUCGCCACCCCACCUUGGCACCUUUCAUAGCCACCGAGAUUUGCGCCCAGCCGCCCUGAUCUCCUUCACGAGAGUUAUGCCCAGAUCUCUUCUCCUUCUAGCAUUUGCUCGACAAAUCUCCGUCCUCUAAAGACAAUUAAUCUCCAGCUUACGUUUUUGGAUCGUCUUUUAUGGCGGAAGGCGGACAGAGGAUCUAUUGCUCCUGGAACUCAUCUUGGGUAAAAAGUGUAAAUGAAGAAGAUUACUUGUUAAAUAGUUCGGCUGGCGAGAUUGUUGCACAAGAUCACCAAGUACAAGGCCUUUUUUUAUCGAAUUUGGAUUAUAGCAUUAUUGUGUAUUUUUUAGUAUGGGGUUUGUAUAAUUUUUUGCAAGAAUAUUGAUUGUAUUAUUAAUGAGUAUGUUGUAUGAGUAUUGAAAUGUAUAAAAUUUUGCAAAUAUGAAUUACAUCUAUGUAUUUUUGCUGUAAAUGA